rnacentral:ncRNA from 1 species
GCGCGAAGCCAGGGAAGGGCGCGAUGCCUGAGAUCACACCCGUCGAACCUGAUCCGGAUAAUGCCGGUGUAGGGAAUAAUUCGAUCGCAUCAC